CUGAGGGUGGCGGGGGUGGGGGUAGAGAGAGGGUGGUGGGGUUGGUUAUGGACACUGGGGAGGGUAUGUGCUAUGGUGAGUGCUGCGAAGUGUGUAAAUCUGGCGAUUCACAGACUGUACCCCUGGGGCUAAUAGUACAUUACAUGUUUAUUAAAAAAUUAAAAUAUGUAUAUAUAAAUGCAUUGCAAAAAAUAAAAAAGAUUGACCGUAUUCACCAAGGGUACUUCAGAGCUCUGUGAAUCUUAAGAUUAAAAAGAAAUAUGAACCAAGUUAUACACUUUGCUUUUAAUGGCUCAUAAAUGACAAGUGGCAAAUCCAAAUCAAUUAGUAUGAAGUUUGUUUGUUUUUUACUCUAACAGAUGUUUACCUGGCUUGAUGAGUCUUCUGUAUGUUCUGAUACUACAUGAAUGAAAAGCUUAGCAUAAAACACUAUAAAUGUAUUUGGGGUUAAGUUCUGAAGACAUGACUCACCCCCUCCGGUAAUGUGGCUCUAGGAAAUGGAAUCAUUGAAAAAGAAAUCUGGACUUCACUGAUCCAUCCAUAGCACCGAGUAAGGAGUUUUCCAGAUAAGAAAAAUUAGAGCUAUGGGAAAAGUCCGUGGUGGGCUUGGCACUUCGGUCCAGCCGUGUAGCCUGUUUACUUUUCUGUGGGGCAAAGUCUUCAGCUCACCAGUUGGGCUUUGGUUGUGUAACAUCUUGGAAGAAGUCGGACACUCCGUUGAUUUAAAGGCAUUGACCUUGGAGCCCUCAUUGGACCGGCUCUGUGGUGCAGCCGUGGUCUGGGGUGGAGGCGCCUGGAGCUGCAGGCUGAAGCCGGGAGUAUGAGCUGGCCUCUCUGCGCGCAUGCGUGCUCUUCUUCGCACUGAAAACGAAGUCCCCACAGAAUGUCUGGGGAGGUCCCCCUCUUUGUAUCGCGUCUAGUGUGCAGAGGAAGAGGAGAUGGAAAUCUACUGCAUCUGGGUCCUCAUCAAGGGAAGUUAGAAUUUGAUUUUCUGCAAAAUGUUGAGUAAAACAAGUGAAAUGACAGUGAUGAAACAUACAUGUGGCAAAGUCAACCACUUGGAGACGGGUUCUAUUCAAAACUCAACUGUAGCUAUUUUGCCAUUGCUGGAGGAGCUUUCCAGAGGCACCAUUCCAGCAAGUGCACCUAUUUAUGUGCAAAGAGAAAGCGGUUCCGCGUCCCAGGACUUGUAUGGCAUCGUGUUAAGGGAGAAAAUAGGAAGGCUGUAUAUCAGAGGUGGGGUUUUCUUUUCUUUUCUUUUCUUUUUUUUUUCAUAUAUUGACUGAAUACAUAUCACAGUAGUUAAAUCGAAGAUUUCUUACAGGUGACUGGAUUUAUAUCAAUUAUGUAUGUCGGUAUUAGUUUCUCUUUUGCAAUUAACUAUGGGUCAUUUGUGUCAAGAUGUCUUUUUCCCUUGUUUUUCUUCUGUCAUAUCCUCUUUUCCCUUUUCAUUUGUCAGAAUUAAAACAAAAGUGAUGUGUG